rnacentral:rRNA from 1 species
GACGAACGCUGGCGGCGUGCCUAAUACAUGCAAGUUGAGCGCUGAAGGUUGGUACUUGUACCGACUGGAUGAGCAGCGAAUGGGUGAGUAACGCGUGGGGAAUCUGCCUUUGAGCGGGGGACAACAUUUGGAAACGAAUGCUAAUACCGCAUAAAAACUUUAAACACAAGUUUUAAGUUUGAAAGAUGCAAUUGCAUCACUCAAAGAUGAUCCCGCGUUGUAUUAGCUAGUUGGUGAGGUAAAGGCUCACCAAGGCGAUGAUACAUAGCCGACCUGAGAGGGUGAUCGGCCACAGUGGGACUGAGACACGGCCCAAACUCCUACGGGAGGCAGCAGUAGGGAAUCUUCGGCAAUAGACGAAAGGCUGACCGAGCAACGCCGCGUGAGUGAAGAAGGGUGUCGGAUCGUAAAACUCUGUUGGUAGAGAAGAACGUUGGUGAGAGUGGAAAGCUCAUCAAGUGACGGUAACUACCCAGAAAGGGACGGCUAACUACGUG